rnacentral:rRNA from 12 species
GCUGUGGAGGUCUUGGAGCAUCCUCUUUCCUUGAAGGGCGUGGAAAGCCGCGGAAAUGAGCACGGUCAGAAGCAGUACAUCAUUAGCGAUAUCUUCACAAUGCUUAGUACGCACA